CAGCUUUCCAAUUGUGAACUUUCCAUUUCUAAGUAGCAACAUUCCAGCAGCACCUGCAUACGGGGUAUAUAUCUCCCAAUUGAUACGAUAUUCCCGUGCAUGCAUUUCCUAUUAUGAUUUUCUUGAUAGAGGGUUGCUGCUCACAAGGAAGCUAUUAAACCAAGAGUUCCAAAUGGUGAAGUUGAAAUCAUCCCUUCGUAGAUUUUACGGACGCCAUCACGAGUUGGUUGACCGUUAUGGAAUAACCGUUUCACAAAUGAUAUCAGAUAUGUUCCUUACGUCGUAACUACAA
rnacentral:lncRNA from 1 species